UACGAAGGGGGCUAGCGUUGUUCGGAAUCACUGGGCGUAAAGCGCACGUAGGCGGAUUUUUAAGUCAGGGGUGAAAUCCCGGGGCUCAACCUCGGAACUGCCUUUGAUACUGGAGAUCUUGAGUCCGGAAGAGGUAAGUGGAACUGCGAGUGUAGAGGUGAAAUUCGUAGAUAUUCGCAAGAACACCAGUGGCGAAGGCGGCUCACUGGCCCGAUACUGACGCUGAGGUGCGAAAGCGUGGGGAGCAAACAGG
rnacentral:rRNA from 1 species